UGUGAUUUCAAAUGGACUCCAGAUUAUUUUAUAGACAUCUGAGAUCAUUCUGAAAUCACGAU
rnacentral:pre_miRNA from 1 species